rnacentral:rRNA from 1 species
GCACAACGCGAAGAACCUUACCAAGGCUUGACAUACACCAGAACACCCUGGAAACAGGGGACUCUUUGGACACUGGUGAACAGGUGGUGCAUGGUUGUCGUCAGCUCGUGUCGUGAGAUGUUGGGUUAAGUCCCGCAACGAGCGCAACCCUCGUUCUAUGUUGCCAGCACGUAAUGGUGGGAACUCAUGGGAUACUGCCGGGGUCAACUCGGAGGAAGGUGGGGAUGACGUCAAAUCAUCAUGCCCCUUAUGUCUUGGGCUUCACGCAUGCUACAAUGGCCGGUACAAUGGGCUGCGAUACCGUAAGGUGGAGCGAAUCCCAAAAAGCCGGUCCCAGUUCGGAUUGAGGUCUGCAACUCGACCUCAUGAAGUCGGAGUCGCUAGUAAUCGCAGAUCAGCAACGCUGCGGUGAAUACGUUCCCGGG